UACGUAGGGUGCAAGCGUUAUCCGGAAUUAUUGGGCGUAAAGAGCUCGUAGGCGGUUUGUCGCGUCUGCUGUGAAAACUGGAGGCUCAACCUCCAGCCUGCAGUGGGGUACGGGCAGACUAGAGUGCGGUAGGGGAGAUUGGAAUUCCUGGUGUAGCGGUGGAAUGCGCAGAUAUCAGGAGGAACACCGAUGGCGAAGGCAGAUCUCUGGGCCGUAACUGACGCUGAGGAGCGAAAGCAUGGGGAGCGAACAGG
rnacentral:rRNA from 1 species